UACGAAGGGUCCAAGCGUUAUCCGGAUUUAUUGGGUUUAAAGGGUGCGUAGGUGGCUUAUUAAGUCAGUGGUGAAAGCCUGAUGCUUAACAUCAGAACUGCCAUUGAUACUGAUGAGCUUGAGUAUAGUUGAGGUUGGCGGAAUGUGUCAUGUAGCGGUGAAAUGCUUAGAUAUGACACAGAACACCGAUUGCGAAGGCAGCUAGCUAAGCUAUAACUGACACUGAGGCACGAAAGCGUGGGUAGCAAACAGG
rnacentral:rRNA from 1 species